rnacentral:lncRNA from 1 species
CUAGAUUCUAGACUAAAAAAGUCAAAAAAGAAAAAAAAAGAAAAAGAAAAAAAAAGCAAUAAUCUAGUUUUAUGUUCGAAGUUUAACACUGCCAAAUUUCUUCAAGAAUAGUUCCCAAUCAUCUUGGUCAGAAACUGAGUUCACUUUUAUAAUUCUCUGGCAAUCCAUCUGAUGGCAAACUUUUUUCGAUCGGCUUGUUAUGAUCAACUUGCAUCCAUUCAUUCCUACAGGAAUGCCAAUCUUCUCUACGUCGAUUUGCUUCCUGACACCAUCCAAUAUAAGCACAGAUCUCCCCAUUCUCUUGAAUGCCUCGGAGAGUAUAUUUGCCCUUAUCCUCUCGUCAUUCUCACAUGAGAAAUCUCGUUUCAAACCUUGCGCAAUGUCACUCUGUGUUGGGAAAACACCUCCCAAUGAAUGCCCA